UCAGAAGUCGCCAUUGCCACCGCAGACACCCCCACCAAGUCCUCUGGAAACCUAUCCGAGGAGAUGUACACCGUGACACUCAUCCCUGUCCCAGCUGCAAGCACCUAUUCACUCCUUACACCAUCGGCUGCGUCCCAGCCAGGGAAGAGGAAGAAGGGUUUGCCCACAGAGCGCUCCCCCUCUCCAAGACUUGCUACCUCUGUAGCAAAUGGGUGUAGCAGUACCACAGGUGAAGGGAUGAAGAAGAAGAAUAAGGGUAUGUUUUGUUUUUGUGGUACAUCCUACUGAACAAAUAAAUAGCUGUAUUCUCCCAUUCACGCGCAAGUCCUUUU